rnacentral:rRNA from 1 species
GUCGAACGCGAAAGUCUCCUUCGGGGGGCAAGUAGAGUGGCGCACGGGUGAGUAACACGUAGGUAAUCUACCUUUGGAUGGGGAAUAACAACCGGAAACGGUUGCUAAUACCGCAUAAUGCAGCGGCACCUAAUGGUGACAGUUGUUAAAGCGGGGGAUCGAAAGACCUCGCGUCUAAAGAGGAGCCUGCGGCGGAUUAGCUAGUUGGUAAGGUAAUGGCUUACCAAGGCCACGAUCCGUAACCGGCCUGAGAGGGCGGUCGGUCACACUGACACUGACAUACGGGUCAGACUCCUACGGGAGGCAGCAGUCGGGAAUUUUGGGCAAUGGGCGAAAGCCUGACCCAGCAACGCCGCGUGAAGGAUGAAAUCCCUCGGGAUGUAAACUUCGCAAGAACGGGAAGAAUAAGUAGGGGACAAUACCCCCUAUGAUGACGGUACCGUUUGUAAGCUCCGGCUAACUCCGUGCCAGCAGCCGCGGUAAUACGGGGGGAGCAAGCGUUGUUCGGAUUUACUGGGCGUAAAGGGCGCGUAGGCGGUCAGCACAAGUCAGUUGUGAAAUCUCCGAGCUUAACUCGGAAAGGUCAACUGAAACUGUGCGACUAGAGUGCAGAAGGGGCAACUGGAAUUCUUGGUGUAGCGGUGAAAUGCGUAGAUAUCAAGAGGAACACCUGCGGCGAAAGCGGGUUGCUGGGCUGACACUGACGCUGAAGCGCGAAAGCCAGGGGAGCG